rnacentral:rRNA from 1 species
CCCUGCGGGUGGAGCUGAGACCAGUCGAAGAUACCAGCUGGCUGCAACUGUUUAUUAAAAACACAGCACUGUGCAAACACGAAAGUGGACGUAUACGGUGUGACGCCUGCCCGGUGCCGGAAGGUUAAUUGAUGGGGUUAUCCGUAAGGAGAAGCUCUUGAUCGAAGCCCCGGUAAACGGCGGCCGUAACUAUAACGGUCCUAAGGUAGCGAAAUUCCUUGUCGGGUAAGUUCCGACCUGCACGAAUGGCGUAAUGAUGGCCAGGCUGUCUCCACCCGAGACUCAGUGAAAUUGAACUCGCUGUGAAGAUGCAGUGUACCCGCGGCAAGACGGAAAGACCCCGUGAACCUUUACUAUAGCUUGACACUGAACAUUGAGCCUUGAUGUGUAGGAUAGGUGGGAGGCUUUGAAGCGUGGACGCCAGUCUGCGUGGAGCCAACCUUGAAAUACCACCCUUUAAUGUUUGAUGUUCUAACGUUGGCCCCUGACCGGGGUUGCGGACAGUGUCUGGUGGGUAGUUUGACUGGGGCGGUCUCCUCCCAAAGCGUAACGGAGGAGCACGAAGGUUAGCUAAUCCUGGUCGGACAUCAGGAGGUUAGUGCAAUGGCAUAAGCUAGCUUGACUGCGAGCGUGACGGCGCGAGCAGGUGCGAAAGCAGGUCAUAGUGAUCCGGUGGUUCUGAAUGGAAGGGCCAUCGCUCAACGGAUAAAAGGUACUCCGGGGAUAACAGGCUGAUACCGCCCAAGAGUUCAUAUCGACGGCGGUGUUUGGCACCUCGAUGUCGGCUCAUCACAUCCUGGGGCUGAAGUAGGUCCCAAGGGUAUGGCUGUUCGCCAUUUAAAGUGGUACGCGAGCUGGGUUUAGAACGUCGUGAGACAGUUCGGUCCCUAUCUGCCGUGGGCGCUGGAGAAUUGAGGGGGGCUGCUCCUAGUACGAGAGGACCGGAGUGGACGCAUCACUGGUGUUCGGGUUGUCAUGCCAAUGGCACUGCCCGGUAGCUAAAUGCGGAAGAGAUAAGUGCUGAAAGCAUCUAAGCACGAAACUUGCCCCGAGAUGAGUUCUCCCUGAGACUAUAAGUCUCCUGAAGGAACGUUAAAGACGAUGACGUUGAUAGGCCGGGUGUGUAAGCGCAGCGAUGCGUUGAGCUAACCGGUACUAAUGAACCGUGAGGCUUAACCUU